AAAAAGACAAACCCUGAUUUUCGUGCCCAACGUUUGACCGUCCGUCUUAUUUAAAAAAAUUAAAAAGAUAAGUCAUGCAUAAAGUAUUAAUCAUGUUUUAUCAUCUAACAACAAUGAAAAUACUAAUUAUAAAAAAAUUUUAUAUAAGACGGAGAGUCAAACGUUGGCACGGAAAUUUAGGGUUUGCCUUUUU
rnacentral:pre_miRNA from 1 species